rnacentral:lncRNA from 1 species
AAUACUGACCUCUGGAUCGAGGUUGUAUUGACCUCAAGAUUGAGGUUAUCUUGCAAAAUAUCGAUCUCUCCGUACUUAAAAUUUUAAAAAUCUUCAAAAGUAUUAUCAAUUAAAAAAUACUUCGAUGAGCUUAUUCUUGCAUAUUAUUUUUUAAUUUAUGAAAAUCUAAUCUUUGGAUUGGUAGAGCCCUGAAGGGCACAAAUGGAGAUAUGAUCUCCUCAAAUUUAAUCUCU